GAUGGAGUAGAGCAGUUGGUAGCUCGUUGGGCUCAUAACCCGAAGGUCAAUGGUUCAAGUCCAUUCUCCAUCA
rnacentral:tRNA from 1 species